GUGUCUUCAUGUGGUCUUUCUUCUCAGUAAAUGUGUCCUCAUCUCUUCUUAUAGGGCCAGUAGUUGUAUUGGAUUAGGAUCCACCCAAAUGACCUAAUUUUAGGUUAACCACCUUUUUAAAGGACCUAUCUCAAAAUAUGAUCACAUUUUGAGAUACUGGAGAUUAGAAUUUCAAAAUAAAAAUUGAGGGGGACAAAAUUAAGCCCAUAAUAAUGGGCAAAGGAUCUGGAUAGACAUUUCUCCAAAGAAGACAUACAAAUUGCUAAUAAACACGUGACAAGAUGUUCAGCAUCAGUAGGCAUCAGGGAAAUGUCAAUCAAAACCACAAUGAGCUCCCACUCCACGCGCACUAGGAUGCUAUAAUCAAAAGACAUAAUAAUAAGUGUCGGUGAGGAUACAGAGGAAUUGGAGCUGCCAUACAUUGCUGGUGAGAAUGUAAAAUGGUCUAUCCCUUUUGGAAAAUGGUCUAGUGGUUCCUCAAAAGGUAAAAUACACAGUUACCACAUAACUCAGAAAUUCCAGUCUCAGGUAUAUACCGGAGAAAAUGAAAGCUUCCACCCUCCUGAAAACUUGCGCACAUGUUUAUAGCAGCAUUAUUCAUAAUAGCUACUAAGUAAAAGCAACCCAAAUGUCCACCAACUGGUGAAUGGGUAAGUAAAGUGUUGUCCACCCAUACAAUGGAAUCUUAUUCAGCAAUAAAAGGAAUGAAGUGCUGAUACACGCUACAACAUGGGGUUACCUUGAAAACAUUCCACUAAAUGACGGAAGCCAGUCACAAAAGACCACGUAUCAUGUGAUUGCAUUUAUAUGAAAUAUCCCCAAAAGGCAAAUAUAUAGACAGAAAGUAGGUUGAUGGUUGCCAAGGGAUGGAGGAUGGAGGGUAGGGGAAUGCAGAGUAACUGGUAGUGGGUACUGGGUUUCUUUUUGGAGUAAUGAAAUGUUUUAAAAUUUAUUUUAGCAGUGAUGUGGUGUGGUGAUUUAUAGUUCUGAACAUAUGAAAAACCACUGUAUUAUGUACUCGAAACAGGUGAAUUUUGUAGUAUGUGACAUAUGUCUCAAUAAAUCUGUAUAGAAAAAGUUAUAAAAGGACAUUUUACCAACGAAUUUACAGUCAUGUGUCACUCACUGACAGGGAUAUGUUCUGAGAAACGCAUUGUUAGGUGAUCUCAUCGUGUGAACAUCACAGAGUGCACUUGCACAAACCCAGAUGCGGUGUAUCCUCUGCACACCGCCUGCCUGGCGCAGCCCGUUGCUCCCAGGCCACAUAUCUGCACAGCGUGUCACUGUGCUGAAUACUGUAGGCAGCUGUAACACAUGGGAAGGGUUUGUGUAUCUAAACAUAGAAAAGGUACAGUAAAAAUAUGGUAUUAUAAUCUUAUGGGACCUCUGUCAUAUCUGUUGUCUGUCAUUGAAGUUAUGUGGCCCAUGACUGUAUAUGAAAAUUCAAUAAGCACAUGAAAACAUCCUUAGAUAAUAGGGAAAUGGAAAUUAAAACGCAAUGGAUGCUACUUCAUGCCCUAAGGAAUGUCUGCAAUCAAAAAGACAGUCAAUAACAAGUGUUGAGAGAGAAUAUGGAGAAACUGGGCCCUCAUACAUUGUUGGUGGGAAUGUAAAAUGACAUCUUCACAACACUUUUCCAGUUUCUUAAAAUGUUAGACAUAGUUUUACCAUAUGACCCACUGAUUCUACUCUCAGGUACACCCAGGAGAAAUUAAAAUGUAUGUCCACAUAAAGAUUUGCAUGUGAAUAUUCAUAGCAUCAUUUUCCAUAAUAGCCAAAAAGUGGAAACAACUCAAAUGUCCAUCAACUAGUAAUUGGACAAACAAUAUGUGCUCUAUCCAUUCAAUGGAUACUGUUCAACAAUAGAAGGAAUGAAGUAGUGAUGCAUGCUACGGUAUGAACGGACCUUGAAAUCAUUACACUAGGUGAAAGAAGCCAUAUAUUGUAUAUUUACGUUUAUAUGAAAUGCCCAGAAAAGGCAACUCUAUAGAAGCAGAUAUUGGGUUCAUGGUUCCAUGGAGCAGAGGGCAGUGAGGUGGGUGACUGCAAAUGGAAAUGAGCUUUGCUGUUGGUGCGGUAGAAACGUUCUAACAUUAGAUUGUGGUGAUGGUUGCUCAACUCUGUAAGUGUUCUAAAAAUAAUUGAAUCAUACACUUAAAAUGAGUGAAUAUUAUUGUAUAUAAACUAUAUCUCAGUAAAGCUGUCUUAAAAAAUGACCAAGAGGUUUGGGAGUCGGGCUGUUGGCGGGUGCGUGGUGACUGGAACGAGGGCCACGUGACAGGAGCUGGUGAGGAGCAGCCAGAGCAGCAGGAGCAGUGAACGUUGGGUGCGGCUGACGAAUUGCUGGAGGCAGUGAGGUGCAAAGACAGGAGCUGAUAAUCGGAAAAUGGGAUGAUUGAAGUUGAGUUCAUUGUUGGAUUGAUAAUGAAAAAUUUAAAAAUGUAAUCAUGGAUGGCAGUGAGUGGCUCUGGUUGCAUAGAGAGGAAGAUCAUUGGAAGUAAGGAGGGAAAGUGACUAAAGGAUCGUUUAUGAUGAUGCCAAGAGUUACAACAGUAGUCCUGGAGUGAGUGGUAAUGACAGGGGAACUAAAAUCUUCAGGGAACACCCCAGCGGAGAGAUGACUGCUACAAAGAUGAGUAAUAAGUCCAGUAGCGUUAAGACAGGAGAUUCACAGGUGGAGUUAAGAGGGAGAGGGUAUUGUCUUGAAGCAGGAAGAGAUAGGAUCAGAACAGGUUAUAGUUGGAUUAUAUAUCUAUAGAGGCAAAACCCCAAAAAACAACCUGAAUGGUUUUGGUACUAGUCAAACAAGUUCUAGUACAUCUGCAGCUUGUAUUGAAUGUGAUGUAUUGUUAUAGUAGCAAUCUAAGAGGAAGGUAAAGCUGGUCAGCUGAGUGGCCUGAGAACAUAUUAAUAAAAGGAACAUAAUCAGUAAAAUCAGAAAAAAACAGGCAAGUUGGCCAGAACUUUUAGAAAGAGAUAUAAAUUAGAGAGCAAGCAAAAUUAUGGAGUGCUUGCCUUUAAUGAAAGGAAUGAGGCUCUCCAAGAGUAAGGUGAGAUCCAGCACUGCAGAAAUAAAAGUCCUGGUGACAGCCAGACUGUACACAUUCCAUUCUGCCACUGAGUCCCUGAUGCCAUGGCAAUGACAUCAUAAUGACCCCAGUGCAAGUGAAGUGAUCCGGUGAACUAGAGCUUGCUGAAAGGUGUGGACGGGAGCUUGACGGAGGCUUGCGUCCAUGAUAAAAGGCAAGAUUAAAGUGUUCGUUUGAAUCUGUAAGUGUGGGCCCUCUUUGGUAAGGUUUACUUGUGCUCCUGGCUCUGAUUUGAAGUCAAAAUUAGGUGACUCCAGCCCCAAGAUAUUGCUACUGUUGCCAAAGAGGAAGUGAAGGUCAUUGUGUCUGUCAGAAAGGGAAAGGAGAAAAGUCAAUUUGCUUACUCAGUGAUGGUCUUUCUGAAAGAUUCUCCAUUCAUUCCAUAGAGUCAGACAGUUUGCUUGGUCUCAAGAGGAUUUUGUACCUUUGAUUCAUAAAGAGAACUUCCUUUGGAGAGAACAGUCAAAGGGGCUUCUCUCCUGUGUGUAUUCGCUGAUGUGUAACAAGAUUACCUUUGGCCCUGAAGCUUUUCCCACAGUGGAUCUUCCUGCAGUGUCUUAGCAUCUGGGGAUUUUUGUUCCAGCUUCUCUCUUCUGAAAGAAUUCUGGAUAUCCCAGCUUGAGGAUCCUGUGGCCUCAGAAUGAUCAUAUUUGUGCUUGUAGGCUUUUCCUGUAACCUCCAGGCACAGUAAGCUCCAUCAAAAGAAGGUCUCCCCUGCUUCCUCAGACUGCCGACCAGUGACGU